UACGUAGGGUGCAAGCGUUGUCCGGAAUCAUUGGGCGUAAAGCGCGCGUGGGUGGCUUCGUAAGUCCGUUGUGAAAGUCAAAGGCUCAACCUUUGAAUGCCGAUGGAUACUGCGAAGCUAGAGUACGGAAGAGGCGAGUGGAAUUCCUGGUGUAGCGGUGGAAUGCGCAGAUAUCAGGAGGAACACCAAUAGCGAAGGCAGCUCGCUGGGACGUUACUGACACUAAGGCGCGAAAGCGUGGGGAGCGAACAGG
rnacentral:rRNA from 1 species